rnacentral:rRNA from 1 species
CCCGGCGACCGGCGCACGGUGAGUAACACGUAUGGAACCUGCCCGCAGCAGGGGGAUAAGCGGAAGAAAUUCCGUCUAAUACCGCGUAACACCGCGGAGGGGCAUCCCUCGGCGGUUAAAGAUUCAUCGGCUGCGGAUGGCCAUGCGGCGCAUUAGCUAGUCGGCGGGGUAACGGCCCACCGAGGCGACGAUGCGUAGGGGUUCUGAGAGGAAGGUCCCCCACACUGGUACUGAGACACGGACCAGACUCCUACGGGAGGCAGCAG